GAUGAACGCUAGCUACAGGCUUAACACAUGCAAGUCGAGGGGCAGCAUAAAAUCAGCUUGCUGAUUUGAUGGCGACCGGCGCACGGGUGAGUAACACGUAUCCAACCUGGCCUUUACUCAGGGAUAGCCUUUCGAAAGAAAGAUUAAUACCUGAUGGCAUAAAUUGACCGCAUGGUUGAUUUAUUAAAGAUUUAUUGGUAAAGGAUGGGGAUGCGUUCCAUUAGCUUGUUGGUAAGGUAACGGCUUACCAAGGCAUCGAUGGAUAGGGGUUCUGAGAGGAAGCUCCCCCACACUGGAACUGAGACACAGUCCAGACUCCUACGGGAGGCAGCAGUGAGGAAUAUUGGUCAAUGGGCGGAAGCCUGAACCAGCCAAGUAGCGUGAAGGAUGACUGCCCUAUGGGUUGUAAACUUCUUUUAUGUGGGAAUAAAAAAGGGAACGUGUUCCCUAUUGCAUGUACCACUAUGAAUAAGCAUCGGCUAACUCCGUGCCAGCCGCCGCAGUAACAC
rnacentral:rRNA from 1 species